AUACUUGCCUGACAAGGGAGACAACAUGGUCAGGAAGAUAAUUUUCUCAUGGUAUUUCAUCUAUUAACAUGUGGGUGUGCAUGACCCUUGAUGUUUACCCAGAAGUAGGAAACAUGACUGUAUAAUUUUGGGGUGGGGAGUACAUUCACACUCCU
rnacentral:snRNA from 10 species